rnacentral:lncRNA from 1 species
GUUUUUGUGUCUCGCUGCAGAGAUGUUUUACGCCUAAAGAUGCUAAAUUGUGUUUUUAUGGCCUUUUUUCACGUAAAUAAGACAUUCUGCAUCUUACUGUUUUUUCCCUUACUUGCAGAUCUGUCUUAAACGAGUAGAGGUUGAGAUUGAAGAAGGGUUUGGUAAAAGUAAGGGGGCGUGUGUUUAGACGAGAUUGGCUAAAGUAAGUUUCGGUGGUUCAAGGUCACCGUGACUGUGAGAAUGAUAACUGGCUUUGACAUUUAAGUUAGAGCCCAGCGGUGUCUGUUUGACACACGAGGGCCGGACUCAGAGGCCGGGCAGCUUGUCUAAGCCCACAGCGCUGCCAAGUGGCAGAACAGGGACAGUCCCUCGUUUCUGACUCCAGGUCCACAGGCCGUCCCUGGGAGGGGCCCUUGCGUGCAUUCCUGAAGAACCUGGUUUUGAGGCUCUCGCUCCUCUGAGGCAGCGCUUGUCACAUCCGUUUCGCAGGCACAGAUAGGAUGGUAAUGACAGGCAUGAGACUUCAGAUCAAACCACGACCUCCUUGGAGGAGCCCAGGACGGACUUGGACAGUUUUUCAACCUCAAACGGUUGCCGGUGUGGCGGGCGUGUUGCGAGGGCUGGAGCAGCGGCUGUGGACAUGCGUGUUGCUUGUUGGCCUCGUGCCCGUCCAGCCUGGCUUAGAGUUCCGCCAUGCUCUGGGAUGUCAGUGUCCGCAGGGACUUGCUCUGCCCUCGCCUUCCUCAUCUGCAGAGACUUCUCCCCCUAGAGCACCCCUCCCCAGACGCCCCUGAUCACAUCCAAGAACUCCUCCCCUUGAAAGCUUUCUGACUGUGUCUGCUGUCUCCCCCUCAGUGGAGUGGCAUUUGGUUGACCACAGUGCUUUGGGGGACCACCCAUCUCCCUUGCUUCUCUGUAGUUGAGUUGGCAGGUUCCCACUGCCUGAUGCCAACACUAGUCACCAAAAUCAAGCAGUCGGAGCAAGUGAGCAUCAGGCCUGGGCCUUUGGGGCAAGAGAUGCCCUCAUGUCUCUGAUCGUCAAGGCAGGUGUGGUCGGAAGACAGGGUGUACCCUGAUGAAAAAACGUCAUAGAGAAUGAAGCAGUCUGGAAGAAACCUGAGCCAAAAGAUGGAGUGAGAACAGUGUCGUGGUUCUUUGAAAGACUAGGCAGAGAAUUACCAUAUGACCCAGCAAUUCUGCUUCUGGGUGUGUGCCCAAAAAGAAAUGAAAGCAGGAACUUGAGACACUGGUAUCUCCAUAUUCAUAGCAGCAUUACCCACAAUGGCCAAAAGGUGGAAGCAGCCCAGUGUCCACUGAUGGAUGAACGGGUACACGAAAUGUGCUGUAUAUGUACAGUGGAAUAGUAUUCAGCCUUAAAAAAGGAAGGGAAUUCUGCCAAAUGCUAUGAUGUGGAUGACCCUUGAAGACUGUGCUCAGUGAAAUAAGCCAGUCACAAAAGGAC